rnacentral:misc_RNA from 1 species
AGCACCUAGUUGAACAAAGCCACAAUUUUUCAUUAGGCUAUAAGCAAGGGCCGAAAAAUUAUUUAAGUCCAAUUCACCCCCCCUCUUGGACUAUUUUGGGAUAACAAAAUGAUAUCAGAGCUUGUCUCUCUUGCUUGAGGAUUAAACCCCUUAGAGUGAUCCACACACAUGGCUAGUUCAUCUAGAAAUUCUGCUGGUAUACCUGCCCCCUUAGCUGAAGGUUAUUCCAUCACUAGACCACCACUUUUUAAUGGCACAAAUUACUCCUUUUGGAAAACUAGAAUGAGAAACUUUAUACAAUCUGUUGACAUUGAUGCUUGGAGAAUAAUUAAAGAUGGUCCUUAUAUUCCUUAUAAAACCAGUGAAGGAACUGUACAAAUUCCUAAAGCUGAAGUUGAAUUUGAUGAUAAUGAUUGGAAGAAAAUUUCUACAAAUGCCAAGGCUAUUAAUAUUCUUCAUUGUGCUCUUGAUAUUAAUGAGUAUAAUCGUGUUUCAGGAUGUCAAACUGCAAAAGAGAUAUGGGACAAACUAGAAGUCACAUAUGAAGGAACUGAUGUGGUAAAAGAGUCAAAGGCAAACCUCCUCAUCCGUGAUUAUGAAUUAUUUGAAAUGAAACCUGGUGAAACUAUUGCUGAGAUGAGUACCAGAUUUACAGACCUUGUAAAUCUACUUAAAGCUCUUGGAAAGAGAUUUGAAGAACAAGAACUUGUAAAGAAAAUUCUGAGGUCUCUUCCAAAGACGUGGGAAGCAAAGACUACUGUUAUUCAAGACACCAAGGAUUUCAGAAAAUACACCUAUGAUGAGCUGAUUGGUUCUCUCAUUGCACAUGAG